AAUAAUAUAUUAAUUAUUUUUUUAAUACCAAAAUAAGUUAUAGCAUUUAAUAAAUAAUAAUAAACACUGUAGAACUAUAUAUCAAGACUCUGCGCAAAGCAAAUACAAAACAAAUUUCAAAUCCUUUCACGUCAAUAGACAAUACAAAAAAAAAAGGCUUUCAACUCUUGGGUCUUCGAGCAACAUGUCGGAAAAGACUAAGAUCGUAACAAAACAAUGACUUCACAUUUUAUGCCAAUGAUGGGCUUAGUUGGUCAAGAAGUGCCAUUUUGCGCAAUGGUACUGUACCAUCCCCUCCAGAAUUGCUCGGCAAAUUCAAAAUUUCGCAAGAGCUCUCUUCAAUUUUUACAGAGCUUCUAGCUACCAGACAUGUAGUUAAUCCUACCAAAUCAAACACACACACACGAUUUCACAACACGCAUGUACUUAAAAUUCACAAUAGGUUAACUAAUUCUGACAUAGAUCCGUGUCAUCUGGAAAUUCUCUCAAUGAAAUAUCCACCCAGAGACGCCUUCCGUCUAAUUCGAAAUAAUAUCAUGUAUGAUUGAAAAGACAAAUAUGGUGAAAUUGCAACAUUAACUGAAGAUCGUCUUUCCUAUAAGGUCCACCCUUUCAUGACAUUUAACCCUCUUUCUAAUGUCAACUUUAUCACAUGGGAGAUUAAAAUUCUCAACAGACUCAUGUGAAGUCACAUAUAUGAAAAAGUUUAUUUAAAUGUGAUCGGAGGGUCAUCAUCUGAUAUAUGGGAAAAGUGUUUGCAUGCAAAAAAUUCAACAACAGCCUAUACGGAAGCUUUCGUGCUCGCAAUAAGCAUACUAACUGCCUUUAUUAACACUGCCGAUUUCCUCAUUCUAACUCGACAAAGUUCCGCCUAGUCUAGAACUGAAUGGAUUACGGCAGCAUGUAUAACUACUCAGCAAGAGAGACGGAAGUCAUCGAAGCAUCAUCAACAAGCAUAAUGCAACCAGCAAUGUUUAUAAUCUUAACUUCUGUUAUCAUGUCUUAACCUGGACGGAGAACUGUUAUUAACAGUAACUCAUCACUGACUUUACUGACUUGACAUUCGUCUAUUUAUUUUGUCAACAGACUUAAUCAAUCCAUUCAUCUUUAAUAUGCGAAAAAGCAAGCGAUAAUCAAAAUGUUAUCUUACAUUAUUAUAUAGAAAAUUCAUAAAUUUGGAAUUGAUGAAUCUCCUCCUAAUGUCAGAGCGUGAAAUUUUUUUCACAUUUCAAUAGUAAUUGUCUAUGUAUUUGUUGUUGCAAAUUCGAAAUUUGUUUACAUUCGUUCGCACGUGCUGAUUGUUGAUAUUUGCUAAACCAUGCAUGUGAAUGUUUGUUUGUGAUGCUGGUGCAAAAGUAAAGAUCUGUGUAUUUGUUAUUGCAAAUUCGAAGUUUGUUUACAUUGGCCAUUUCGCGUUUCGUAUGAAAAGAAAAGAAUGCCUAAUAUAAGCAGGCGUUUACCGAACGUCUAGCCGUGUAAGUGAAAGAUCACACUUUAAACGUCCGCCACAUACCAGAAGGAGAAAACAGAAGAAGGAAUCAUGUCAUGUUACUAGUGGUUAAUCAAUUUUGUAAUAAAAUUUAUUUUAGCAUCGAACUCAAAUUAUCUUCCAUUUAAUAGUCAUAUUGGAGUGCGAAAAUCUUCUAAGAAAUUUGAUUAUUAAGAGUUACUGGAUUUGAAUAGCUCUGUUAAAGUCGCCAUUGUUGCUUUGCAUUUAUCAGCUGCAUCCAGGAGAAGUGAAACUUUUCACAUUAUUUUGGUAACCUCUCGCCUUUAAAAGGACGACAUAGAAAUCAGCUCGUAUUGAUGAAGCCGAACAUACUCCAUCAGCAAUGAUAACGACAACAAACACCGCAGCUUAAUGCUCUUGACCGCAAAUUUACACUUAUGAACGCAAACUCCUAUAGAAGCGUUGCACUCUAAUGCAAUUUGCAAUACACGCAGCCAUAAAAGGAGUGGUCAACGUUGCCUACCCAGCCGCUGCAUGACGCCAUGAAAGCGUGAGCCAUAAGUGCUAGCAACUCAUCCCGACUAUCAUAAAGUCUACGAAUGCAGAGCAAAUAACUGCAAAGAACAAAUCAAGCAAACUUAUCCAAAAUGCAAUGCAAAAUGCACUUAAACUAAAAUGUUGUGAUGUGGAAAUCUCUUAACCGCGGUUGCAAUGCAAUAAUGAUAACACAACAUACCUGCCGCCCUUAUUGCCAAAUAUCUGGAAUCUGGAAUUUAAAAAAAUGUACGCACA